rnacentral:misc_RNA from 1 species
GAUGAAGAACGUAGCGAAAUGCGAUACUUGGUGUGAAUUGCAGAAUCCCGUGAACCAUCGAGUCUUUGAACGCAAGUUGCGCCCGAAGCCAUUAGGCCGAGGGCACGCCUGCCUGGGCGUCACACGUCGUUGCCCCCCCAUCUACUCCUUCGGGAUUGCGGGGGGCGGAUGAUGGCCUCCCGUGCGCCUCGCCGCGCGGUUGGCAUAAAUGCCAAGUCCUCGGCGACGCACGCCACGACAAUCGGUGGUUGCGAAACCUCGGUUUCCCGUCGUGUGCGGUCGUCGCGCAUCGAGGGCUCGAAAAAAUUGCCGGGUUCCGGCUCGGCUUUCAACGCGACCCCAGGUCAGGCGGGGUUACCCGCUGAAUUUAAGCAUAUCAAUAAGCGGAGGA